rnacentral:miRNA from 1 species
GAUAACCGCUACACCACGAGGCC